GAUGAACGCUGGCGGCGUGCCUAAUACAUGCCAGUCGAGCGAACAGACGAGGAGCUUGCUCCUCUGACGUUAGCGGCGGACGGGUGAGUAACACGUGUAUAACCUACCUAUAAGACUGGUAUAACUUCGGGAAACCGGAGCUAAUACCGGAUAAUAUAUUGAACCGCAUGGUUCAAUAGUGAAAGACGGUUUUGCCGUCACUUCUAGAUGGAUCCGCGCCGCAUUAGCUAGUUGGUAAGGUAACGGCUUACCAAGGCAACGAUGCGUAGACGAACUGUGAGGGUGAUAGGCCACACUGGAACGGAGACACGGUCAAGACUCCUAAGGGAGGCAGCAGUAGGGAAUCUUCCGCAAUGGGCGAAAGCAUGACGGAGCAACGCCGCGUGAGUGAUGAAGGUCUUCGGAUCGUAAAACUCUGUUAUUAGGGAAGAACAAAUGUGUAAGUAACUAUGCACGUCUUGACGGUACCUAAUCAGAAAGCCACGGCUAACUACGUG
rnacentral:rRNA from 1 species